UACAGAGGUCCCAAGCGUUGUUCGGAUUCACUGGGCGUAAAGGGUGCGUAGGCGGUCGGGCAAGUCUGAUGUGAAAUCUCACAGCUUAACUGUGAAACUGUAUUGGAUACUAUCCGGCUAGAGGAAUGGAGGGGAGACUGGAAUACUUGGUGUAGCAGUGAAAUGCGUAGAUAUCAAGUGGAACACCAGUGGCGAAGGCGAGUCUCUGGACAUUUCCUGACGCUGAGGCACGAAAGCCAGGGGAGCAAACGGG
rnacentral:rRNA from 1 species